rnacentral:rRNA from 1 species
AGAGUUUGAUCCUGGCUCAGAUUGAACGCUGGCGGCAGGCCUCAUACAUGCAAGUUGAACGAGAAAGUAUCUUCGGAUGCGAGUACAGUGGCGGACGGGUGAGUAAUACAUAGGAAUCUACCCAAUGGAGGGGGAUAGCUCGAGGAAACUCGAAUUAAUACCGCAUAAUCUCUACGGAGUAAAGAGGGCUUCGGCUCUCGCCAUCGGAUGAGCCUAUGCAAGAUUAGCUUGUUGGUAAGGUAAUGGCUUACCAAGGCUACGAUCUUUAGCUGGUUUGAGAGGACGACCAGCCACAUCGGGACUGAGACACGGCCCGGACUUCUACGGAAGGCAGCAGUAGGGAAUAUUGGACAAUGAGCGAAAGCUUGAUCCAGCCAUGCCGCGUGUGCGGUGAAGACCUUAGGGUUGUAAAGUACUUUAGGUUAUGAGAAAAGAUUUGGUAUUAAUACCACCAAAUUUUGAUGUUAAUUUCAGAAUAAGCACCGGCUAAAUCCGUGCCAGCAGCCGCGGUAAUACGGAUGGUGCAAGCGUUAAUCGGAAUUACUGGGCGUAAAGCGCGCGUAGGUGGCCUAUCAAGUUAGAUGUGAAAUCCCGGGGCUU